UGAUGACAUUCGAAACAAAGAAAGCUCUCAGCCAUGCUUGUAGCUGUUAUUAUCACUUCACAGUGACUCAGACAUUCUAGGCUUCAGAGUGACACACGAAGUAACAAUCCUGGAAUUUUAUUAUAUAACGAAAUCUAGAGGAAGAAUUUCUUGUGGUAUAGGCACUGACUGGGGCUCUGGAGGUCUAGUGUACUUCUUGUGUACCUAAGGCAGGCCACUUGGUCUGUGUCUCAGUUCUCCAGCUGUCAAAAUGAGGCUAAUAAUGUCCCUCUGCAUAUCUCUGAAGAUGGUCAGUUCUCCCCAGGCAUAUGUACUUGCACAAUGGGACCAUUGUCUGGGGGUGAGAGUAUUUCCAGGUUGCAUAGUUCCCAGCCUUCACUGUGCCGAUCCGGUCGCAGACAGACUGCCCAGGAACAUUUGCAUGCUUUCUUUUCAGAGAUUAUGACCAUCUUGGGCCAGAGACAACGGCUCUGCUCCUCAAAGGUACUGAUGCUCCUAGCUUCCACUGAUAUCAACAGAAGUACUGUACCUAAUUACCUUUGAGGAGCUAACCCCACCUCCUUGUUAAAUGUUUGUACAGCACCUAGCAGAGGAUGGCUAGAAUCACUAGGUGUUACAAAUAAUAAAUUCACACAAACAGUAACAGUAAUGUAUGGGCAACAGAACUGUCACUCUGCUGUUGAUGAACACAUAUAUAAUUGAUAUCCAUGUAUCUGGGUGAAAUGUAAUUAAUAAAUUAAUUUCCCAGAAAGUUCACAAUGUGGUAUUAAUAUAAGUGAAGGUUCUCUGUGUUUAAAUAAGUGGUUUCUAAAGACACAUUUCAGUGAAUUUAGUGCUAGUAAUAAAUAGCAUUGGUUGCCAUGAAGAGCAAAGACACCCCUGGAGGCUCUGGAGGUUUAACUCUCUUCCAACCUUCCCUCCUGAAUCCUAUCCUUUCCCUCUCUUUGGCAGUAUCUUACCAAUUUCAUUAAAUGUAAAAGGAAAGAAGUACAAUAAAACAAAUAUCAUUAUCCAGUGGAGUUUUCCAUCCCUCCUCAUCUUUAUCCCUCCACUUGCUUAAUUUUUAAACAUUUCCAAAGUAUCAAUAUCUGAAAUACAAAGAACACAAGAACUAGAUACUCCAGGCCAAACUCAGCUCUGAAAAACGUGUAUGGACUUCAGUAGGACCCAUUAGUACAAACCUAAAGGCAGAACUAGCCCUUUAAAAACUUAAAAUACUUUGGGAAGGAGGAAAAGUCAUCUGGUCCCAGCUGCCCAUUUUUAUUUUACUUUUCUGCUUUCCUACCACGGCCUUCAAUCGCCUUCUUGAAAAGGAAGCCCAGGCACUGGACUUAUUACUUCUUUAGCUCGAUUACCAGUCACUGCUGCAGACAUCCAUUUCUGACCCACACAGAUUUCUCAGACUGACUACCCUUUACUCGUCUUGAUGCAUUACAUAAGCAGGAAGUCAAAAAGACAUACAUAGAUUUCCACUUCCAAUCACUGCCUUCCUAAAAUAAUGGCACCUCACAUUUCCCUGCAGAAGCUAAGUAUAUUAAGUGCCAAGGAAGACAAUUCAACAUAGAUACCACAUUGCUGUUCCAGUAGCUCUGACUCAGAAUCUGAUUUCUUUUCUGGACUUAUAUCUUGAUUUUAAGGUAAUGUUUAUGGGUCGAUGUCACUUCUGGUAUAAGUGAGAAUGUGGCCCAUGGGCCUAUGUUUAAUUUGCAUUUUUAA